UGCCGGUGUGGCGGAAUAGGCAGACGCAAGGGACUUAAAAUCCCUCGGGGGCAACCCCGUACCGGUUCAAGUCCGGUCGCCGGCAU
rnacentral:tRNA from 1 species